CCUACGGGGGGCAGCAGUGGGGAAUAUUGGACAAUGGGCGAAAGCCUGAUCCAGCCAUGCCGCGUGUGUGAAGAAGGCCUUCGGGUUGUAAAGCACUUUCAGUGGGGAAGAAAGCCUUGGGGCUAAUACCCUCGAGGAAGGACAUCACCCACAGAAGAAGCACCGGCUAACUCCGUGCCAGCAGCCGCGGUAAUACGGAGGGUGCGAGCGUUAAUCGGAAUUACUGGGCGUAAAGCGCGCGUAGGCGGUCUGAUAAGCCGGUUGUGAAAGCCCCGGGCUCAACCUGGGAACGGCAUCCGGAACUGUCAGGCUAGAGUGCAGGAGAGGAAGGUAGAAUUCCCGGUGUAGCGGUGAAAUGCGUAGAGAUCGGGAGGAAUACCAGUGGCGAAGGCGGCCUUCUGGACUGACACUGACGCUGAGGUGCGAAAGCGUGGGUAGCAAACAGGAUUAGAUCCCCUUGUAGUC
rnacentral:rRNA from 1 species